CCGCUUGAGCCACAUCCCCAGCCCAAACGGAACCAUCUUGGAACCAUCUUGAAGGUGCAGUGCUUGUCCAUGGCACCCUGCUGUCCUGUGUGCUCCAGGCCCGGGGAGUUACUUCCUGAUCCAAGUUACAACUAAGGCCAGAGACCUCAGAAGUUGGGAGUGGGAAACUCCCCUGAACUCACUCACCUCCAGUGCUCCUCCCAACAUGUGUCACCAAGGAGCAGGCACACAGGUCCCCAGGAGAACACCAGUCUCACCGUCACUCUCAUGGUCUGCACUCACAGUCCCUCUGGCGGGCCUCUUUCCUCCACGGUGGCCCCACUCCCUUUCCUUCCAAGUUCCUCUGGGAAACUCAUAGGCAAACAUCUUUCCAGAGGGGUGAGGAGGUGCCUGCCUGUCAUCCCAGCGACUGGGGAUUCUUAAACAGGAGGAUUGCAAGGCCAUCCUAGGCAAUUCAGCCAGACCCUAUCUCGAAUUAAAAAAAUUAAAACGGGCUGCAGGAGUAGCUCAGUGGUCGCGCACUCCUGGGUGCAAUCCCCAGCACUGUAAAAGAAGACAGAAAGAAAACAUCUCUCCGAGAGGGAUG